UACGUAGGAGGCAAGCGUUGUCCGGAUUUACUGGGCGUAAAGGGUGCGCAGGCGGUCGGGUGUGUCAGAUGUGAAAUCCCGAGGCUCAACCUCGGAACUGCGUCUGAAACUACUCGACUAGAGUACUGGAGAGGGUAACGGAAUUCACGGUGUAGCAGUGAAAUGCGUAGAUAUCGUGAGGAACACCAGAGGCGAAGGCGGUUACCUGGACAGUUACUGACGCUCAGGCACGAAAGCAUGGGGAGCAAAAGGG
rnacentral:rRNA from 1 species